GCCAGCAUGGCGUAGUGGUUUGAGUGUUAGUCUGUGAUUCUGGAGACCAGGUUUCGAUUACCUUCUCAGCCA